rnacentral:rRNA from 1 species
CGCAACGCGAAGAACCUUACCAGGUCUUGACAUCCCAUGCAAAGCUAUAGAGAUAUAGUGGAGGUUACCAUGGAGACAGGUGGUGCAUGGUUGUCGUCAGCUCGUGUCGUGAGAUGUUGGGUUAAGUCCCGCAACGAGCGCAACCCUUAUUGCUAGUUACCAUCAUUAAUUGGGGACUCUAGCGAGACUGCCAGUGAUAAACUGGAGGAAGUGGGGAUGACGUCAAAUCAUCAUGCCCCUUAUGACCUGGGCUACAAACGUGAUACAAUGGCUGAAACAAAGGGCAGCGAAGCAGUGAUGUGAAGCGAAACCCAAAAAAGCAGUCUCAGUUCGGAUUGAAGUCUGCAACUCGACUUCAUGAAGUCGGAAUCGCUAGUAAUCGCGAAUCAGAACGUCGCGGUGAAUACGUUCUCGGGGUUU